GACGAACGCUGGCGGCGUGCCUAAUACAUGCAAGUCGAGCGGACGAAUCGAAAGCUUGCUUUUGAUUCGUUAGCGGCGGACGGGUGAGUAACACGUGGGCAACCUGCCCUGUAGACGGGGAUAACACCGAGAAAUCGGUGCUAAUACCGGAUAACACGAAAUGUCGCAUGACGUUUCGUUGAAAGACGGCGCAAGCUGUCGCUACAGGAUGGGCCCGCGGCGCAUUAGCUAGUUGGUGAGGUAACGGCUCACCAAGGCGACGAUGCGUAGCCGACCUGAGAGGGUAAUCGGCCACACUGGGACUGAGACACGGCCCAGACUCCUACGGGAGGCAGCAGUAGGGAAUCUUCCGCAAUGGACGAAAGUCUGACGGAGCAACGCCGCGUGAGCGAAGAAGGCCUUCGGGUCGUAAAGCUCUGUUGUUAGGGAAGAACAAGUAACGCAGUAACUGGCGUUACCGUGACGGUACCUAACGAGAAAGCCACGGCUAACUACGU
rnacentral:rRNA from 1 species